UACGGAGGGGGUUAGCGUUGUUCGGAAUUACUGGGCGUAAAGCGCGCGUAGGCGGGCUGUUAAGUCGGGGGUGAAAUCCCGGGGCUCAACCCCGGAACUGCCUUCGAUACUGGCAGCCUUGAGGUCGAGAGAGGUGAGUGGAACUCCGAGUGUAGAGGUGAAAUUCGUAGAUAUUCGGAAGAACACCAGUGGCGAAGGCGGCUCACUGGCUCGAUACUGACGCUGAGGUGCGAAAGUGUGGGGAGCAAACAGG
rnacentral:rRNA from 1 species